UAAGGUUUUAAGCAAUAUGUUUAUAUAUUAGGAAAAAUUAAAUUUCAAAAUUUUUGAUUCUAUUCCAACCUACAUUUUUUGGCUGUAGCGACAUUUAAUAUGGCAACUGUUCUGCAGAAUAAAUAUAGAAAUGCUUUCAAUCUAUUGAAAGCCCAUAGUGUGUGGUCCUUAAAAUACCUAAAGCAUUAUACUGAGAAGCUUCACGAGAGGGGCAAAGCCAUGGAAAACGUUUACUUUCUGAAAAUCCAAUAUGAACAGCUACGGGCAUUAAGACGGACAAAGCUAGCUAAACGAAGGGAACUAGAUAGGAAUAUCACGGACCUAAAUGAUACGCUAGAGGAAAUUGAGAACGCGCUAAGAGAACGUCGAGUUCUCUAAAACUUGCUUAGUCAUGUUAUUUUACUAUAGGAUCUAGAGGAAUGCCUGACAAUAUCCACACCAAAAACCUUGACAGGGGCGGACCAAAUGUGAAUUUUUCUACCGAGAAAAGUUCGCAACUACGAUCCCUUAUAUUUUUAGAUAGAGUAAAGCCUCAAAGACUCGAUCAUGAAUCUGUUGCAAAUAUAAAAGCAGCAGAUUCAUGAGCGAGUCUGUUCAUUUUGGUUUCAAUUUCGAAAUGUCAUUUAAACCUGAGUAGGUGCUUUUGGAAAAUAUUACAAAAAAUACUUAAAUUUAAAUCAGAAUUUCGAAAUGUUUGUCAUGGGAACCUUCAGUCUAAGGGCCGCUGUAAAAAUGUUGUGGUACAUAAAUAGCUUCUCUAUAAAAAGCACAAUCCCAGCUAUGAUAGGUCCAUUAAUAACCAGACAUUACUGCAAUGAAAUUCGUGAAAGGGGCAAAGCAAGUGAAAACGUCCACUUUCGGAAAAUACAAUACGAACAGUUUCAACGUAUUAUCGAAAAUCAAAAACAAAUCAGGGAGGAAAUUAAGAGAUUGGGUAAAGAGCUGGAGGACCUGAAGAGAAAUAUGGAGAAACGCGAAGAAAAUUCAACCCACAAGGAUUGAUAAGCAUACGUACCUUAGUAGGCGCUGUUUACAAAAAUUCUGAAUAAUGAUUUCCGUCAAAAUUAAACUUUGUAAACUCUUUUCAAAAUUAAAACCUCAUUUCAUACCUUUAUAUUUUAUUUUAAAUUUUUAGUAAUUUUUUUUUUUUUUUUUUGUAAGAGCGAAAUGCUGCCGGUUCAUAAAGUGCUCAAGUCUAGUAGCUUGUUGAAGCCCAUAUUUGAUGAUUUGCCACAAGGAUUUUUGAAUAUCAUGUUCCGCUCUUAUACCAAAGAGAUUUACGAAAGAGCCAAGGCCGUAGAGAAUGUGCACUUUUUGAAAAUUCAAGGGGAGCAGCUGCAAAAGCUGCGAAACAAAAUGCUCAAGGCGCUGAAAAAAAAUGAAGAUAGUGGGGCCGUAGACGGCAAUCUAGAGUUGAAAGAAUCACGAGCUGCGAGAACACAGCAAGCAGAUAAUUGAAAUUGUGUUUCUGAAAAUUGAUUCGGCAAAAUAUUAUGCCCAGAACAACGUUUACAAAACAGUAGGCAACCGUAAUUCUGUUCCAAAUACAUGCUAUUUUGAACAAAACUAAUAUCAAAAUUCCAAAUUCAAUAUUCUACAAUGUGGAGCUGUUUCAGGCCCAGAUGUGUGAUGGAAUGUCUCAUUAGAUGGAGUCUCUCGUUCCCUCAACAGCUGCGCUUGUUAUCAGACAACGAAAAAGCUAAAAUUCUCGAGGCGAAGAACAUAGCCAUGUGGAGGAAACAGAUAAGUGAGUUGGUUCGGAAGCGUGCAAUGCUAGCACUUAUAAGCGAUUACAUUCAGCUACAGGAGCGUUAUGUGGAGUCUAGACUGCGAAGCAAUAAAAGGUUGCUAAAAUAUGCAAACAAAAUUUGGAGCUUGCGCAGAAAAGAGUCGUCUUGAGAAUUUAGAUGAAUUACUGCUUCCGAAAUUUUGAUUUUAAAGUGCUGGUCCUAUGAUUAUAAUAUCUCUUCAAUUUAUUUAAAAUAGUUUGUAUUUCUCAUUUACAAAUGCUUUACAAGAAGCGUUACAUAACAGGCGUCAAUAAAAUGAAAAAGAAAUGCUGCUUCAAA